GUUAGCACUCUGGACUCUGAAUCC
rnacentral:piRNA from 3 species